rnacentral:misc_RNA from 1 species
GGCAAAUCCAAGGCCUUCAUUUGAAUAGACAUUCUCCUAUCAUAACUAAUGCUUUAUUUGCAGAUGAUACUCUUCUUUUUGGGAGGGCUAGCCGUCAUGAGGCUUCAAAACUUAAAGAGAUCAUAUCUAGUUACACAGAAGCUACUGGACAAAGGGUAAACUUCCUAAAAUCAAGCAUUUAUUUCAGCAAGAAAACUCCUGUGGUUUUAAGGCAUGAUAUCUUAUCUUCACUCAAUAUGCAAGAAAUAAAGCUUGAUGAUAAAUAUCUUGGGCUUCCUGCCCUUUGGGGUAGAUCAAAAGUGCAAGCUUUAAAAUUUAUUAAAGACAAAGUAAUGUCCAAGACUCAAUCUUGGAAGCAGAAAUUGCUUUCUCAAGCUGGUAGGGAAACUCUUAUCAAAUCUGUCUUGUGUGCUAGUCCUAAUUAUUCUAUGGCUAUUCUCAAAUUCCCUCUGAGCUUUUGUAGGCAACUUAAUAGCUUGGUUUCUAAUUUUUUGUGGGGAAGAAAGGAUAAGGAGAAAAAGUUACAAUGGAUAAGUUGGAAGGAUGCUACGAACAGAAAAGAUAAAGGAGGCAUGGGGUUUAAGGACUUCAAGCUCUUUAAUCUGGCUUGUUUAGCAAAACAGUGCUGGAGAUUAAUUCAAAAUCCUUCUUCCUUAUGGGCCCGAAUGCUUAAAGGUCUCUAUUUCCCUCAUAAUUCUUUCUGGCAAGCCCCUUCCUCCAAAAAGCAAAGCUCUUGGGUUUGGAAAAGCCUUCUGAAAGGAAUAAAUAUGUUAAAGGAAGGCAUCAAACACAAUGUAGGCGAUGGAAGGGAUACUCUCAUUUGGUAUGAUCUUUGGGUCCCUCAUGUGCAAGAUUUCAAAGUCCAACGGCCAUCUCACUGUCCUUUGGAUAUUAAUCAUGUCUCUGAUUUAAUUGAUCAUGACAAUCUGCAAUGGAAGAAUGAAUUAGUGGUUCAUUAUUUGAAGAAGAGGUGGCUAGAGCCAUCAAAUCAAUUCCAGUAGCUCCCUUGGGAUGUAAAGAUUCAGUGAUUUGGCAUUAUGACAGGUUUGGAGCAUACUCAGUUCGAUCAGGCUAUCGCUUUUUACUAGACAAGGCCAAUCAAUCUAUUAUUCAUAGCCCCAGCAACUCACUUUCCAUUCCACAGCAUAUUUGGAAGAAGUUAUGGAAUCUCCCUCUGCAGCCUAAGAUAAAAGUUUUUGUGUGGAAAGCUUUGCUAAAUGCUUUGCCAGUGAAAGGAAAUUUGGCUCACAGAGGUAUCCCUAUUAAUUCCACUUGUCCUAUAUGCAAUGAAGAAACUAAAUCUAUAGAGCAUAUAAUGUUUUGGUGUAGUCAUGCAAGGGCCACGUGGUUUUCUAGCUGUUGUAACUAUAAGCCAGAUGUAAUUGGUUUUAAUUCUUUCACUCAAUGGUGGAUUGCUAUCACUCAAGCCUUUAGUAUUGAUGAUGAUUCUCUAUCUCUCAUAGCUAUUGUUUGUUGGAUAAUUCGGAAGCAGAGAAAUAUGGCAGUUUUUUAGCAAAUUCAGCCCAACCCAAUUUCAGCUGUUCAUCAGAUAAAAAUUUGUCAAUUGGACUAGCAGAUUCUUAUUGCCAAUUCCCAAAACUCUACAAAUUUGUAGCACUACAUGGGUAAUUCCCAUUCUCGCAAUGUGUGGUGUCCGCCUACUUUUGGGGUUUUGAAGUUUAAUAGUGAUGUUUCAUGGAAGGACAAUUUCGAUUAUGCAACAGCAGGAGUUGUUGUCAGGAAUCACAGUGGUCGUAUCGUUGAUGGUGUGGCCUACAAAAUUCUAGCAUCCUCUCCUCUGGUGGGUGAAGCUCUAGCCUUCUUAAAGCAGUUAAUCUUGCUAUUUCUAUGAAUGCAAAAUCUGUUAUCAUGGAAACAGAUUCAUAAAUCCUUCAUUUUGCUAUUAUUCAGCAAAACAAUUUGAUCCCUUGGGAAAUUCAGGCUGCGGUCUAUGCUAUUAUUGCAAGAAGCAGUUUCUUUAAUCAUGUAUCCUUCUCUCUAAUUAAGAGAUCAGCUAAUAGAGCAGCAGAUUGUACUGCCAAAGCUUUUAGAUAAGGCAAGCUCCAUAGUUCUUGGACUGUAAAUCCUCCUGAGUUUUUGAGCUGUAUCUUGUUUUUUGAUGCUCAUUCUUGGGACUUGUAAAGCAAAUUUUGCAGUUCAAAAAAU